GAUAUUCGCCAGCCCCAUCCUUCUGCAAUUUUCUCAACUCCAUAGUUGAUGAGGUUUGCGAUGAGGAUGCCGAUGCUGAUGCAGAGCUCAAAGCCAUUGUUGAUGGCACCACGGUACUGUGGUGGUGCCAUUUCUGAUAGGAUGUUACCUGGUUGGUGAAUCCGAGCCCUAUGCCGAGGAGGAUCCUGUUGAGGAGGAGCAUGUAGAUGUUGACGGCUGCCCCGCCGAAGACUGAGCCGGCGAUGAAGACGGUGCCUCCGAUGAGUAUGGAGGUGCGGCGGCCGAACCUCCUUGUGACGGAGGAGGCGAAGAGGGUGGCGACGAGGCCAGCGACGUAGAGCGAGGAGGUGAAGACGGUGAGGAGCUCGCUGUCGAAGCGGCAGUAGUUGCUGACGUUCUUAUCCCCUUUCAUCUGGUGGUACACGUUCGGGAAGAACUUCUUGAGGAACGACUCCAUGGAGUUGGUAGGUACCUGAGAUGCCGAGGUCGUAUCCAAAGAGGAUGCCGCCGCUGCCGGCGACGAUGCAGGAGAGGAUGACAAAGGACGUGACGCGGCCGUUGUAGCCGGCGCCGGCGGGGCCUUCGACGAAGGCUCCUAUCGCCAUGGAGUAUUUCUUAAGCUGUCAGCGGUGUUCCUUGAAGCAGAGCAGAGCUGAGCAGGGAUGGAUGGAGGUGCAAGGGAUUCGGGCUAUUUAUUGUCUAUGCUGUGGCUGCUCUGCCGUCUGAUCUGAUCCAUUUUUUCUUUGAUCUAUCUAUCUGGUGGCAAUGCCGACGGUGUGACUGGCCUGGCCUCUUCACUUCACUUCCUCUUCCUCUUGGAGCUACAGCUACUGCCAUGGCAUCCUGGAUUUGAUGGCAGAACGUCAGCUCAGAGCCAUUUCGGUAGUGAUUGUUACUCUAUAGGCUAGUCUAGUUUGCUUGCAUGUCUACUCUUCGCCCCGUUGCUAGUAAUUUUGCACUGCAUUACUUUAUACUAUAUGGUGGGGAAAAGGAGAGAUUUCAAAAUUUAACACUCAA